GGUCCUAGUGCGCGCCAUGGCGUCGCCUGAGGCUGGGUUCUUCAGGGCCCAAAGGAUUUCUGCCACCAGCUGAGGACCCAGUACCCCUCAGAGGGCCAGGGCUGUGUUUGCAGCAGGCGGUGCCUCCUGUGGUGCGAUGCAGAAGCGGCCUCGUUGGCUGAGAGCUGAGGAGGAGGCUCUGGGCUGCUUCCCGAGACAUGCUGGAAGGGAGGAGGGAGCAAGCUGGAGAGCUUGAGGAUUCGAGUUGAGUACCAGGAAAAGUGCGGCUUCUCUCCUCUUCUCUUCCCUCCGCCUUCCUGCAGCCAGGGUGAGACUGAGAUGGGCAGCCCUUCGGGGACCCCAACAUUCUUCGUAACGAAAACGUAACCAACAUCCUUUAGACACUUGUUCAACAUCUGUUUGGAGGAAAAGCUGUUUGCUGCGUGGGGAAGGAUGAAAAAGAAAGAUAGAGGUGACCGUGUGCAGCCUCAUCCCUGGGGUGCCAAGCAAAGCACCUCUGGCCCUAAACUCGCGUGUCCCUCUCAGUCAGAGGCAAAGCCCUGCAGUUGGUCUGAUCUACUUUGCUCAGGAUCAAAAACCUGGAGUGGACAUACAGUGAAUAUGCAAGAAGAUAUGGGAUAUAUCCUUGCUCUACUUUUUGGCAUUCCUCCUUCUCAGCCCCAUCAUAUAUCCCAGCAGAUCAGCAUUUGUUAUGAUUUGGGGGUAGACAGGGUAGAAGGAAGCAAGGGCUGAGUUUAGAGGUAAGGGAAGUUGAAAGCUAAUCCAUGGUCUAUAUCUAACCUUGACCUACUCCAUGGAAAGGGGGAGUCUGCUUCUCCUUCUCUCCCUGGUGGACUGAAACCAAGAAUCAUAAGCAAGAAUCCUAUUUGUCCUAGAUGCCUGGCAAAGAGCACAGCUCUGUCCUUUGUGGGAUCAGUGGCUGCUGUGAUUAACGAUCCCUACUGGGAAAUUCAGCUGUGCCAUUAUCACAGUGAGAAGGGUCACCAAGUCCCAGAAAGCUCCUGAGUGAGUUCCAUGUGGGCUAUGCCCCCAGGGGCAUCCUUGAACCAUUCCUGGAAAUCGGAGGCUCUGGAUCACUGAGGACAAUUCAAGUCUGUUUGGUCAUGUAUUCAGACUCUCUUGCAGUCACUGAAAUCUGUAUAGAAACAAAAUGGCUCUCACGACUUGAUGUCAGGAUGAGAACCCAAACUAUCUGACCUGGGCACAAGGCCACAAAUGACAAGGCAAGGAACAAUGCUUAAUGUCCAUUUUGCACUUCACGCUAUGUUCUGAGAUAACAAACACACAUGCACUAUCUCAUCUUUACAGCAUCUCUAGGAAGAAGACAGCAUAAUAACUCCCACUGUCUUUAUAAGGAAACCGAGGACCGAGAAAUGAGGUUUUCUUCUCAAGGUCAUACAGUGACGUGGCAGGGUGUGAACUUGGAAUCACAUCUGCCUAAUGACAAAAAUUGCUGCACUCUCUUUUGAGGGCUGGAGGCAGGUAGAAUCUCACAGACAAAAAUAAGGUUUCUCUCCUGAUUUUGUAACUACAACGUCGGUCCCUUAUUCCAAUACACACAUAUACCCCUUGAGAAGAGAGAGCAGUCCUAACAAAGCAGGACUUUAGGAAGCUAAAUCCUGAGUUUUACUGACCAAAGCAGAACUGGGAGAAUCUAUUGCUCUGAUCCCAUCUGAUCUGAAUGCACUGCUCCGUGCAUAUGGGCCCGGCACCAUAGGCCUGGGUGACCGGCGGUUCCAGGCUGCAUGCUCUUGGCAUCCGUGCUGGGCACUGUACUACAUCAUUUUCCCUCCCAUGCAGGCCUCUUCUUCCCCAGUGGGCUGUGCCUUCCUUAAGGACCCAGAUGCUAGCACGCCUGCUUCAAACCCUCUGCACUGGCUGCCCUGAUCCCUCAGAGAAGCGCCUCCUCCUCGGGAGUCACUCCGUCUCUACUGGCUCCUCCAGCCUCCCCUCUGGAAUGCUCCGACAAUGCAAAUUAAACGAGGUCACUCCAACUUACAAGUCCCUCAGGGACCCACUGUCUUUCAGCACAACAUCCUAAGUCUUUCCUAAACUCAUCCCUCACCCUUCCCUCACCCACAUCUGGCUCUCCAGCCACGCCCGGUUACCUGCAGCUUCACAGCGGGUUCUUACUCCCCAGUUUUUACUCAUGCUCUUCACGACACCUGCAAUGUCUUUUCCUCACCUGAUUCGCCUAACACUGUGGCCUUCGCGCAAUCACCUCACCUCUCUGAAACAGAAAUGGGUAGAAGUGGGUUGUUCUGGGAGCUAGUAAAAAAGAGUAAGAAAACGGAAUGAGGUCAAACAUUUCUUGACAUGUUCCAGGCAUUUUAUAUGUAUCGUUCCAUCUAAUCGUCAUCAGCAACCUAAGGAACAGCCCGAAUUGCUUUCCUGUCACAGGGCGAUUAGGUCCCGAGUGUCACACUGGUAGAAGGUGAUGGAGUCCAGGUAGCCAGGACCCAACAGCUCCAACACAAAAACCCUCCCCACAAGACCAGGCCCCUGGGAGCUACCAAGGCUGCAUAAUUAAUGUGCUGGCUCAGAAGGGGUCACCCACGCAUGAGAUCACGAAGCUGAUGAGUAAAUGGCAUCAUGGAAACCACAGGGCCUGGAAGGGGCCAAGUGGAGCAUCUCGUGCUUCAUGCUCUUUAUACUGGAAGAACUUCCCUAUGAUAAUAUUAACCACAAUGUUGAGUAAUAAUAAAAAUACCAUUUCUACAUGGCUCCCCAUAUGCCAUCUUCUCUGUGAAUUUACAUAUGUAUACAUUUUUUUCCAUUUAAUCCAUAAAACAGUCCAUUUUACAGACGAGGAAACCGAGGAUAGAGAGGUCAAAUAACAUGCCUAAGGAAGCACAGGAGCACAGGGUAGAGAUAGGGUGAAAGUCUAAGGCUAUUGGACUCAAAGUCUGUUCUCGGAAAAGCCAGGUUAUGCUGCCUGUGCACUCUCCCACCUUAUAUGCCGCCUUCCUCAAUGAAGUUGCAAUGGCCUGUGUCUGUCGGUAUAGGACCCACCAGGAGAGGCCGGCAGGCUGUCUCUCAAGGGACCCCGCUGGAUUCCUUCAUUCCUUGUGCCUCACAAACCCAAGGACUGAGGACCCUACAGUCAGGGGUGUUCGGAGAGACUGAGGCUUACUGGCAAAACUUAUGAGAGACAGGCACAAUUGACAGAAUGAACUCUCAAUAAGUGUGUCCACUUACAAUGAUUAUUUGAAAGGCCAAGAAGACCAGAGUGCCUCUGCUGCCAUGAACAGCACAUUCGUUCCUUGUCUGGAGCCAAAUGACAAGCGUGUGCCCAUCAAACAGACAUUUGUGGAACCUCUGCUCAGCGGUGAGCAAAAGCAAGUAUAGCAAAAAGGUGGUUAGUCUGUCAGAUCACCUUUUCUCUAUACAUCAGCUUCACCCUUUUUUUGUGUAAGUCAGAAUUCUUGCUUCACAGAAACUGAUUCGGACUGAAUUUAACAGAAAAAGAAUCUAUUGGAAGGCUAUUAGGAAGGCCAAAGAACAAGACAAAAAAAUGAAAAAAACAACAGGGAUAAAGGGAAGCUCGACAGCCAGACACCACCAACAUUCCACGGCAGACCAAGCCUGCUAAGGACGUCACUGCUGCCGCUCCUGCGAACCCACCGUCGCAGCCGGUGCAGCCUCCCCACCUGCUGGCACCAGACGCCACGUGAACACAGACUCUGCAUCACCCGUAGCAAGCUUGUGAGCUUUUCUUAUGGAAAUAUACAAUUGUAUAUAAUAUACACACAUACUGCGCACACACACGCACACACACACACACGAUAUAAACAUACAGAUAGAUACAUAGACACACACCCAAGUAGAGAGAAUGGUAUAAGGAACUCCCAUCACUAACUUAAAUAAUUCUCAGCUCACAGCCCAUCCCCACAGCCCCCAUAACAUUUUGAAACAACUCUCUUCAUCCUAUCAUUGAACCCAUGGCUACGUCAACACCUGUCUCCAGAACAGGCUUACAAAACCUUGGCAUGACCCACAUCUCGGGCCCCAUCAUUCUUUGCUGAGGGCGCUGUCCUGAGUAUACUACGAUGCUCAGCAGCACCCCUGGUCUCCAUACAUGAGGUGAGAGAGCCUCUUCCUCACUCGUGCUUAUGACCACCGAGUAUGUCCUAGCUGCUGCCGAACAUCUAGGGAGCAAAACUGCCCUGGAUGGACACACACAUAGAUAUGCCCGCAAAACUAUCCUCACUCUUUCAACAUUUCAAAAUAAUUUCGCAAUAUCAUGACAGGUCAAGUCACAGUUCAAAUUUAGCUGAUUGGGGUGCCUGGGUGGCUCAGUGGGUUAAGGCCUCUGCCUUCGGCUCAUGUCAUGAUC